rnacentral:lncRNA from 1 species
UUAUUAGGAGUAUGGGACUAUAACCACCCUUGGAUUAAUGCCAAGUGUCCAAUCCUUAUGCUCAAAGAUGCAUGACAUGUGUCUAUUUAAUCAAUUGAUUAAUUUCCUAAUCAUAUUAGGAUUCCUAAUCUCAUUAGGAGAAUUAAUUGAUUUGGGAGCAUGCAUCUUAUGACGCGAUGUGGACUUUAAAGUCCGCAUAGUGUGAACAUGACUUAAGUCAUAUUCAUCCUACAACGACAUGUGGUCUUUAAAAUCCGCACAAACCUUGGUUUAAUCAAAUUGACCCAAUCAUGAACCCAAAUCAAUUUGGGUCGAACCCAAAUUGAUUUGGCUCAUUAAAUCAGCCCAAUUGCAAUCCAAUUGCAAUUGAUUCCACUUAAUUCUUCUUCCAUUAACUCACUAACACUUAGUGGGUUAAUUCAAUCACCAAUCAUAUUGAUGAUUGAUUUCUAUUAUGAUUUCAAAUCACAAUUAUGCUAGUCUGACUAAUUAAAUCCUCUAUGUGUGUGAUCCCGUAGGUUCUAUUCUGACUGGUAGUGAGAAAUAUUGAGAUCUCCAUCUCAAUAUCGCUGAAACUCCUUUCAGUGGACUGAAACGAUUUCAGUUCUACUCUUAUAGUUCACUGAUCACCAAGUGAAUGCCUUCGAGUCUCACAAUCCACUAGUGACACCUAGCAGUAUGUGGUGGCAACCCAGCAGAAUGGAAUAUCUGAACCUCUUGGUGCAGUUAGCGUAUGAUACAGUCCCUCUAUCAUGGAUUCCGACAUGACGGAGGUUAUGGAUAUCUCGUCAAACCCCAUCGUCUGUCAUAUGUCAAAUUUAUACGACUUCCAGUUCGAGAUAUAGAAAAUUCUUUUUCCAAAAUACUUGGCCAGAAAUUUAUCGAAUUCAGUCUCAUAAAUCAUAUAGGAUUACUCCUAAUCUAUCAAGGUCGAUAGAUCCCAUCUAGAUGUAACCCUAUUCCAAAAUGAACUUACUGCAGCCAAUUCGCACUAUAAGGACCCGAAUGACUAGGGCCCAAGUUCACAUGCUUGUCAAACUACAGCAACCUCACAGUGAAUAGCUGAGGCAUCGCAGGUCAAAGGACCAAUCAUACAACUGCAGCAUAAGUAGUCACUGACGAGUGGAUAGACAUCCAUGUGACUACUAUCUUUAGUCACACUCAGUACCUUGUUUUCUAACAAGUACUUGCAUAAUCACUCCAGUGUCUCUACACCGUGGACUCGAGACUCGUCCAUCUGACUAAGUGAUUUGUGCACUAAUCUCAGCGGAUCGANN